ACCAGGCUUUAUUUAGUUUAUUUAGUGCCAGCGCCCGUCCCAUAAAAGACACCGUUAGUGAAAUUCGGGAGACCUAAGCUUCCCUGACAAGACUGUGUAGAGACUAUCCACAGCAAAGUGGCAUGAAUCGAAGAGUGACACUGUCAUUUUAAUCGGGAUAUUUACAUACAAACAAAAUGAAAGCUAUCUCUGGGAUCAGAAGAACAGAAAUUUUGUGAGCAAACACUCUAGUGCUCAAUAAAUGAAAUAAAUAUUCUGA